rnacentral:lncRNA from 1 species
AUGCUAAUCUGUAUCUAAUAAAACUUAAGCAUGGAUAUGAUGAAUAGUUGCUCUGCCUAAUUUGCACAUUUUAAGUUCUCUCUCAAGUUUAGACAUAACUGUUAUAAUUUAAAGCUUGCCCUAGACCUAAACUUGUGGGAUGAAAACUUGAUCUGAAGUCUAAGUUGUUAACGGAUACGAUAUGGAAAGGCUGAGCUGCUGUUUAUCUGUUCCUAGAGAUGCUAGAAUUCUGGAAAAUUUUAACUUUGAAAAUCUUUAAAAUGUUGCAUGAUGAGUUCCUGUAUGAUGAGAGUUUAAAUUCCUACCACAACCAUAUAUACAUGCUUGCUAGACCUUGAGCCACGCAUUUACUAUUUACUGCUUAUGAGCAUUGAGUAUGGUCAAGCUGUGUAGACCCUUAGGAGCUUGUCAUGUGGUUAAAUCAAGAUUUCACUUGCACGUUCACUCAUAUAUGCUACUUCUACUCCGGAAGUACCAUCCACAUAUAUCCACCCAUUCCAUCUCCAGAACCACCUAAAAAUAUUCUACCCCUAAUCCGGGAGAGAAUAACCAAAAAUAUUUCUGUUUUCCCUUGUGAAAUAAAUGCUCCAGUUAUCUUGUUACUACCACUUGCUAUAUUAUCUCAAGAGAUGAGUGCUCUAAAAAAAAGAAGAAGAAAAUAAUACGAGGAAAUAAAAAGGAGCAAGUGCUCGGAACCUCGAAAGAAAAGAAAAAGUGAGACGAGAGGUAAAAAUGGACAAGUGUCCGACAGUAGAAUUAGGGGUGCAAGAUACCCACCUGAGAGAAAAGAAAAAGAAGAGCAUCUCAUUCUCCUCAUAAAGUUUCAAAAGCAAGGAAGGUAUGUAUCCCCUCAAAAGAGCAAAGUAGAAUUAGACUUUCACCACCAUUGUUUUCACCAUUGUUUUCACCAUUGUUUUCACCAUUGUUUUCACCAUUGUUAUCACUAUCACCACCAUACAUCAUUCAUUCGCCACACAUGCACAUCUUGAUUUGGCUUAUUGAUUUGUUUCUUUGGAUCCACGGUUUGACUAUGCAAUAAAUGUCUUGUAAGUAUGUAUAUUUUAUCUCCCACCUAUGAGCUCCAGAUAUUAAAGCCUUAUUAGAGUAGGGUGAGAGAGAAGGCAAUGUUACUAUGCCUCAUACCACAAAUACCACAUAUCUUGAGAGAAGGCAUAUACCAUCAAUGCCUUGGUAAGGAUCCAAAAAUACCACAAAAGAGAGACCUGAGAGAAUCAUACAAGGAAUUCUGAGUUUUAUUUGAAAAUCUGCAAAAACCCCAGAGCUAUAGCUGAUCAAGAAUAAGAGACAUGGCACUUGGCUAGACUGUUCUAUCUUUUAACCAC